rnacentral:lncRNA from 1 species
UGUAAACAAACCAGCAAUAAUUAUUUUGCUUUCUCGGGUGUUUUCUUCGCCGCAAGUAUCGGUUUCGGUUCUGCGGUAGUCAUCGACCACGAAAUUGUCCAGAAGGCUGGUGCGGCACAGCUGAUCCGGAGUCAGGGAGGGACCUAGGGAUCACCGAGGGAGUUCCUACUGGGGAACUUUUUGAGUGUCCUGGAAAACUACUGGCACGAACCGGACAAGGAAAACAACAUUUUGUGCGAGUGGAUUUUGUUUUUGCACAGAUUGCUAAUGUAUGCCCAAGAACCGAAAAAGCAGAUUGAAAUAUCAAAAAACUUUACAACCCGGCUCAGAAAAAGUAGAUGAACAAACACAAUUCGAGACGACAUGGCAAACGGCUUCGAAGUGGUCCGCGAAAAUUACGUGCGCUGCUCGCUCGACAGGGUUCUGGUGCAAAGAAAACGGUUCUCGAACUUUCUGUCAGCAGCGAGCUGUCGAAGAUGAGAUCAUCACCAUGUUGACUCAGCGGUCAUUGGAAACAAAGGCCAUCAUUCUUUUUAGGAGCAGGCUCAGAAUUUGCUGUAUUUUGGAGCAGAACUGCCAAAUCUCAGCCUAAAAAUUCAAC